rnacentral:rRNA from 1 species
GACGAACCGAGCGAACGUUGUUCGGAAUCACUGGGCUUAAAGGGCGCGUAGGCGGGCUGUCAAGUCUGGGGUGAAAUCCCACGGCUCAACCGUGGAACUGCCUUAGAUACUGACGGCCUCGAGGGAGAUAGGGGCGAGCGGAACUGUGAGUGGAGCGGUGAAUGCGUUGAUAUUCACAGGAACUCCGGUGGCGAAGGCGGCUCGCUGGAUCUUUCUGACGCUGAGGCGCGAAAGCUAGGGAGCAACGGG